GAACCCCAUUCGCCAUACAACUAGUAUAUUGGACACACCGCGAAUCCGGACCUUUAGCUAAUGAAUACAACUCUUCAUCCACCAAUUCAGAUCCUUGACUAUACAAAUCAGCCACCCAAGCUCUAAACCAAUUAGGAAAUAAUUUCCUAUGUCUCUCUACUAAGUUAUCAAGAGUCUCUCUUUCCAAAAUCUGGAAUGCUCGCU
rnacentral:lncRNA from 1 species